GAGGGUAGAGCUCAGUGGUGGGGCGUGUGCUUAGCAUGCACAAAGUCCUAGGUUCAAUCCCCAGUACCUCCA
rnacentral:tRNA from 1 species